UCUGUUACUAUCUCACUCUGAAGCACGAAGGAGUGUCAGAGCUGACCGGUCCACGGAGGGAGUAAUCCUUCCUCGCUUUCACCUCAGGCCAGGAUUACCGGUGCCUGGUUUGACCAAUGAGUAACUCCAUCAAAUAAAUAAAUAAACAAAUAAAGAAAUAUAUAAAGAAAGCACAAGUUGGCAUUCUCCACAGUCAUCACUUAUCAGGCCACGGGGAGGGCUGACCCAAAACACUGUUGUACAACAAUCAGCCCGGUCUCCUUGGUAACAGACAGUCUUGUUUGAAGUGAGGUGCCCGGGGAGUGAUGGUCAAACUGUAGCAGCACAAAGUGAGGCGAGGAGACGACAAUGGCAGUGGAUUCCUUUGUACUCCCUGUAUUCACACUGACAUUGCGAAUCGGCCAUGUUUGCAAUACUUUGAUUAGACAUCUAACCAAACCCAAGCAAAUGCUUUUUAAAGGUGUAACCAGAGAUGACAGGCCACCAUUUUUUUUGUGGGCCGGCGCUUUGUACCUCCAAAUGAUACUCAUUACCCUGUCUAAGUAGACAAGUGAAUGGUACUAGAAACACACGAUGCAGUGAUCCCGCUGUUUGACUGAGGUAGCAAAACAACUGCACAACUGCUGUGUUAUUAUGGGGCCUCAUUAAGUGAGGAGAGAGUGGGAGAAGGGGAGAGGGAAAGAGGAGCAGAGAUGGAGAGAAGGCCAGCAAGGGGGUGGGGGGAGAAAAAAACACAAGAGAGCGAUACAAACUGUAUUUUGAGGUGAGAGCAGCACGCAAACGCCUUUCCAGCCAAAAUGAAGACUAUGACUAAAGAACCCAAUUAAGGGCUUUCUUAGGGGAACCAUCUUGGGAGGGGGAUGGGUCUUCCUGGGACACGAGCCCUGGGCUACAUCCUCUAAUUAGACAGAGCGAGGGGGGAGGAUCUCUGCCUGUCACUGGGAGGGAGAUGGGGUCCGUGGGGUUCCGCGUGUCAGUCCCAGAAACAAAACACAAUUACUUUCACAUUUAACCACUUCAGUCAGGGACAGACUUUGAAUAGGGAUAUUACUGAGUGCGCCCCUGCCUUUCAACUGCUGCUGCAGGAGACGCGCCACAAUACAAAACGCAGAGAUUUGUUUGUGGGAUAAAAUGGGUGUUUCCAUUCUUCUGCGAGAAACCAAGAGCUGAUCUGGACCAUUUUACCUCUAACAAAGAAGGAAAAUUGGUGCCGUUGGACAUGAUCUUUUUCAAAAUCGACAAGUUUUUAUUAUUUCUGAACACAGACUUCCAGGAGGAAUAAUUGUCCUAAUGUUUAUUCUGCCCUCUGCUACAUUUUGUUAGCAUCAGCUGGACAGCUCACUCUUGAAAAUCAACUCACUACAGAGGGGAAAUUAAAGCUGCAGCGAGUUUCCUGCAAAGCGCCACAAAAAUUGGGCUUAUCAAAGUUGUUGAAAAAGUCAACUAAGAAAAGUAAAAAAAAAAAAAAGAAAAAAAUGUGUUUGAGGAAGAUGGAUUCCAGUGCCGUUCACCAAGCAUCUUCUCUUUUGUUUGGAUUUAACUUUCCCCAAUGGUACAACAGAGGAAAGAAAGAAGAAGAAGAAGAAGCUCAAAGGCUUCUGGGAGUUUUUGUCAUGUCUCCCUCCAGACAUUGUGUUUGCAUGCACAUAUCAGACCCUGAGAGAGAUGGAGACAAAGACAAAUACAUAGAGCACGCACACAAACGUAAACCCACAAACAUAGUCUGAUAUACGCACACGCUUAGAAAGAGAAAAUCCUCCCAGGAUCAUUAGGUCUGUCAUGCUGUCUAAUUCUGAUCCACCUACAAAACUAGAACACAACAAUUGUGAUACAUCACUUGGGAUCUAAGGGUGUAUUUGUGCCCAUUUACAGUAUGGGAACCGUGUUGUAUGUAAUUAUAAAUAAACUUAAAUAUUAAUGAUGGCGCCUCUCAAGCCAGCACUAUUGUUUUUUUUCUUUAUAUUUUUUGUCGUAAUUCACCGCUGUUUUAUUUUGUCGUGCGGCUUUUUGAAACGGUGCCAGAAUUCUAAGAACCCGAGGUGAUGAAGAAGAAAACAAGUUGUCAUAUAAAAGGGAGUAUAAAUAUAUAUUUGCCACUUUCAAAUGUGUGAAGAGCUGUCACACUUGGCAGAUCAAGACAUUCAGAGAAAAUUUGGUGUUUGAGAGCCACUUGGGGACAAACGCAUGAAGCUUUGCUUUUGUGUGACACAUUUGGGACUCGGGGCAGUUAGGGCAUUUUCAGGGGGCAUACUUUAAAUAUAUAAAAAAUAUUAAAAAAAAUAAGACAGACAAAAGGUUCUGGGGAAUUAGGUCUCCUGUGUUAUAAUGAAGAAUGCCUUUGGAAAAAAAGAGGGGGGAAAUGUCUAAAAUGUCAUUUCUUGAAGUCAUCAUUUGAAGAAUCAGCAAAAGUAAUUUGAUGCAUUACAACGCAUAAAGGCUGCACUCCUUGUGUUUUUCUUUCUCUCUCAGCGUAUCCAUCUCACUUUUUCCCCCCCAGUUUUCUUCCUGGGACAGACAUUAUGACAAACAUAGCUGUUUAUGCUGACCUGGUGACCGUGAAGCCUAUAAAUAUGCUUAAUUAAAACAGUGGAAUUGGUCACAGCUUGGCAAUAAUGGCUAUCACACAGGGAGAGGAGAAUCUCAUUUGUGAGGGGAAGUAGAACAUGAUGCAGAUGUGCUCUUGUCACUUUCAGCACUCAUUAAGGCCAGGGAGCUUUGGAUUGUCUUUGAAGGAAUCCCUUUAAAAAAAAAGAAAAAAGAAGACACUCCAAUUAAGGUAUGUGUCCUGCGGGCGUCUGAGGAGAGGGAGAAGUCAUACGGCACCCCAGUCCUUCCCCUCCUACGUCGAUCACAGCAAGACUCAACACAUGACUUACAAUCUCGUGUCACUUCCAAGAAUGCAGUGAAAUUUGAAGAUGGGGGGAGGGGAUACAAUAAAACACAGGCGUAACAGGAGCGUUGGUUCAUAAAGUGUCAUCCUCGCCGCUGUCCAACUUCAGUCUCGUCUCGUCUUUGGAGGAAUCAUUGGGAGAGAAUCCUCUGAUCGCAACUCUCCAUGCAGUAACUGCAACACUGGAGCUAAAACCUGCGUGUGUGAACGUCUCCACGCACACAUGAGUGAGCUGCACUCAGAGAAAUGUCAGAUUAAAGCUUUGGCUAAUACCGUGCAUCCAUCAGUUAAUGAAUCUGGCUAAUUAAUCCAGCCGAGCACCAUUGUCUUAAACUGACUUCUUUGAGCAAGUGUGAAACAUUACUCUGUCUGAAGCUGACACAGAAAGAAAAAAAAAGUUAUUUUUUUAUUUUUAGAACAAGUUGACAUAAAUCUUUGGAACAUUUUUUUGGACAGCUGUAAUGAAAGGAUAAGGUUUAUGUAGUAAAACUUGAGCUAACCACUCCUGGUGUGGGCAGUAAUCAAGGGUUAGAGAGAGACAGCACAACCAGCCCAGUCGCCCUCCAUAUCAGCACCUCAUGAAAUAUCUACACUUUACUCCACAUUUUAACGGGGCGGAGGGAAGGUAAAGGCUGAAUGUGUGACAGUAGAGGGGAGUCCUCCGGAGGGUUUCAAGGAAAGCAGUGUUCUGUGCAUUUCACUCCCAGUUUCUUGUCUAAGUAAGGAAAAAUAUAAAAAUAAAAAAGGUGGGAAGGAGAAAUAGAUGAAAAAGAGAAAGAGAGCAAGAGAGAUUAUUCUCCUCUGGAAUCUGGAUUCUGGGGCACGCAGGCCCAGGAGUCAGUCAAUCUGGAUGGUCUGAGGGGGGCGGCUGGGCGGGGGGUCCUGAGAGGGCUGAUUAGACGGAUGCUCUCCCAUCAUCCAUCUCGACAGGCUGGCGAAAAUUGGCUAGCCCCUCGCAGGGUAGAGUUCACGGGGGUGGAGGCGGUGGAGGAGGAUGUGGUGGAUACCUGUCACAGCCUUUGGUCUGUUUCAGGAUCUCAGCAGCAAAUUAAUAAAAUAUCUUUCCUGCUUCCCUUUACCUGCCGUGGCAGCUCUCCCUCUUGCUGCUCCCCUCUCCCGGCUUGCUCUGGCCCUUUGACCCCUCCAAAUACUGUGAGGGAUGAGGAGCCCACGCAGGCAGCGAGUGGACCGGAGAGUCACAAAGAAACGCGGGGAGAAACUCCAAACUCAAGACGAAGCAGAGAGAAGGAGCUCUCUGCUGGAAGACAGCUCUUGUUCAGACAGACUGACAAACGAGCGCCCUGUGUCAGGCAGACAUUUUGAAGAGUGAAAGUUGGGAAAUGGCAGCCAACGAUAAAAAAAAACAAGCUAGCAACCAAAGUUUUCACCAUGGGUGGAAAAAAAGGCAAGUACAUUCAAAACUAUUGGGCAAAAAUAAAAUAAAAAAAA